rnacentral:rRNA from 1 species
CCUACGGGCGGCAGCAGUAGGGAAUAUUGGUCAAUGGAGGCAACUCUGAACCAGCCAUGCCGCGUGUAGGAAGAAGGCGUUCUGCGUUGUAAACUACUUUUGAUUGGGAACAAAUGACUCUUGCGAGAGUAGCUGAGUGUACCAAUAGAAUAAGCCACGGCUAACUACGUGCCAGCAGCCGCGGUAAUACGUAGGUGGCAAGCGUUGUCCGGAUUUAUUGGGUUUAAAGGGUGCGUAGGCGGCUUGAUAAGUCAGUGGUGAAAGCCGAUCGCUUAACGAUCGAACUGCCAUUGAUACUGCCAGGCUUGAGUAUAGUUGAGGUAGGCGGAAUUGACAGUGUAGCGGUGAAAUGCAUAGAUAUUGUCAAGAACACCAAUUGCGAAGGCAGCUUACUAAAGUAUAACUGACGCUGAGGCACGAAAGUGCGGGGAUCAAACAGGAUUAGAUACCCCGGUAGUC